rnacentral:tRNA from 1 species
GCUCGCAUGGCGGAACUGGUAGACGCGCACGACUCAAAAUCGUGUAACUAUGUUGUGAGAGUUCGAUUCUCUCUGCGAGCACCA